AUGGCGAUGAUGAGGCGAAGCACCAUUGGUGUAAUUAGGGCAGUGGACAAAGCAAUUAACGUUGUUUUGCCGUGAUCCCAAUUUUUAACGACUUCUCCUUCCACUGAGCUAU